AGGGACAACGUCAGGAAUCAGAGAGAGCAUUUGAUUCUACUUCUUGCUAAUUCUCAUAUAAGGCUACACCCUAAACCUGAGCCUCUAAACAUGGCACGUACCUAUCUAAUAAUGGCCAAUUCUAACUUCAGAUGGCAUAUGAACUACACAGUCUAAUGGGUGGAAAUGUCAACAUUGUUACGGGUGAAAAUAUCAAGCCUUCUUAUGGUGGUGAUGAAGAGGCAUUUCUACACAAGGUUAUAACUCCCCUCUACCGAGUAAUAGACACGUUAAUUAAUGCAGGAAGCCAAGAGGAGCAGAAAUGGAACCGCUCCUCACUCAGCAUGGUGCAACUAUGAUGAUCUAAAUGAGUAUUUCUUGUUUGUUUCCUUUUUGUAUUUUAUCUUUGAAUUGACUUUUUGGUCCGUUUCAUCAGUUGUUAUUGAAUUUAUUUGAUUUAUUUAUUUUGUGCACUAUGUUACAGGUCACCUGAUUGCUUUUCUCUUGGAUGGCCAAUGCGUGAUGAUGGUGACAUUUUGGAUGUCUGAGAAAGGAUACUCUGAACCUGUAAUAAGUUCAUUUCUCAAGUUGGAUGACAUGGAACUUGCGAAGAGUAUCUAUGAGGAGUGAGAAUCUAGAAAUUGGUAUUUCAAAAAUUUCGUUAUUCCGAACAUGAUGAUAGCAGCUUACAGCAGAAAGGGCAAUAUGGAGGAAGCUGAAGCCAUUGUUAAUAGGACAAUCAUGAAGGAAGGAAAGCCAAAUUUAUGGACUUGGUCAGGGCUCUUGCUUGGAUAUAUUCCACAAAGAAAUUUUCUGAUGGCUGUUCGAUGUUUGAAAGAGGCAGUUUCUAUCUGUGAAGUGAGGUGUAAGUGGAGGCCACUACCGGAAUUCUUAGCUGCCAUUUUUCAGUACUUGAAAUUUAAUGGAGAUAUGGAGGAGGCAGAGGAUUUGAUAAGGUAACUCAGCAGCAAGAAUAUUGUCUCCCUUGAUGUUCAUAACAAGCUGAUGAGUUGGAUUAAGGAUGUGGAAUCAAAUGUGCCUGCAAUUGAUGUGCUGGGAGGUGAUUCACAUAAACAAAUUGGUGAAAUUUCAGAGCCAGAGGAAGAUGAGAACACGAACAACCCUGACUUCAAGCCCAGAGGAGUUGGGGUGUUCGAGGUCAUCUCAAUUGAGCCAGUCACAAUACUGCAGGUCCGAUGUCACGACGAGGCUGGAAGUUGAUCAAUCUUGCUAUCCUUUUCUUUAUUAAUCAGACUAGUAUUUUGUGGAUUAUGUUGGUAUAUAACUUUUUAGGAAUUCCCUUACCUUAUGUACUCAUUCUGCUCAAACAAGACACUAUGGUUUUUGAUACACUAUUACUAUUAAGGGUUUGUUGGCAAACACCUUGAAAAGGAUAAAAGUGCAUUCUGUUUUUGUAUGUUUGGCAAUUUUUUUUUCUUCGAACGUAGACGUAAUUUUGUAUCCUAAAAGUACGUUCAU